UACGUAGGGGGCUAGCGUUGUCCGGAAUUAUUGGGCGUAAAGCGCGUGUAGGCGGUUCGAUUAGUCUGCUGUGAAAGUCGGGGGCUCAACCCUCGAAUGCCGGUGGAUACUGUCGGACUAGAGUACGGAAGAGGCGAGUGGAAUUCCUGGUGUAGCGGUGAAAUGCGCAGAUAUCAGGAGGAACACCAAUUGCGAAGGCAGCUCGCUGGGACGUUACUGACGCUGAGACGCGAAAGCGUGGGGAGCAAACAGG
rnacentral:rRNA from 1 species